GAUGAAGAACGUAGCGAAAUGCGAUACUUGGUGUGAAUUGCAGAAUCCCGUGAACCAUCGAGUCUUUGAACGCAAGUUGCGCCCGAAGCCUCGGCUAAGGGCACGUCUGCCUGGACGUCACGCAUCGCGUCUCCCCCAAACCGCCAAGGCGGAGGGGAAGGAAGAUGGCUUCCCGUGCCUCACCCGGCGCGGUUGGCCUAAAUUUGGAGCCCGCGGCACUUAGCUCUCGCGGCGAUAGGUGGUGAACAAGGCCUUGGCCGUGCAAACAACCCGCUGCGAAGCUCUAUGUCACGUGCGCUCGUCGGACCCUUUGAAGUUGCCUUCGGUGACUUAAAACCUUUGCGACCCCAGGUCAGGCGGGGCUACCCGCUGAAUUUAAGCAUAUCAAUAAGCGGAGGA
rnacentral:misc_RNA from 1 species